AAACGUCACACCCCUUACCUUAUCUGACUUCACCUCCGGAGGCUGGUGCAAACAACAAGCUAUGGCUAAGCUAACGACGGCGGCCAUCCACCACUAUCAAUUUGAGUGAAGAAACACAAGCCGAUAGACUCUGAAGCACUUUCACAACAAAAGCAGGACGUUUCACAGUGGUUUUGGGGUAAUGGACCAGGUUCCAGUUCAUCCUACAUGUUUGAUACACCAUGCAGGCGUGGUGAAUCUGUACACCCCACAGAACAUCCACAACUGUGUAAACUUGAUUCUGAAAACUAAGGUUUCAUUAUACCAAAAAAACCCACAAAUGACAAAUAAGUCUUUUGUCAAAAGAACUUUAUUUUUUAGCAAAUGUAAAAAACAAAACCACAAAAAAUGUACUAAAUAAUAUACAAUAGAUAGAUAUAUAAAUAUAAACACAGCAGUGUUUUAUCUGCAACACUAAUAGUGUCCAAUUCUUUCCAUUCAAGCGUUCAUCCCGUCCUGUGUUGGAUAGAGUUUCCUGAUCCGGCUGGUCACUGCAUUGGCCUCGUGCUGCCCCUUGGCUGAAGUGAGAGACGUGUCAGGCAACCACUUCCUCCUUUGAGGGUCUCUCAUACUGGGAUGCCAGGUCCUUUGGGAUGAGAAUUUUGGAGAAGACAAGCCUCAUCAGGUCAUCUACAGUCUGUAAAAUAUUGAACUUAAAUCUUGAUUUCCUUGUGUUUUUAAAUUAAGUGCUUCCCUGAAUCCACCUUUCUUGUAUUUCAAGUGUUGCCAUAACUAUUUCAUUUUUUAAAUAUUUUUUUAUUAUGUUGGUAAUAAAAAUAAAAUUAUUUACAAAUUUCUGCA